UACGUAGGGUGCAAGCGUUGUCCGGAAUUACUGGGCGUAAAGCGUGCGUAGGUGGUCGUUUAAGUCCGUUGUGAAAGCCCUGGGCUCAACCUGGGAACUGCAGUGGAUACUGGGCGACUAGAGUGUGGUAGAGGGUAGCGGAAUUCCUGGUGUAGCAGUGAAAUGCGUAGAGAUCAGGAGGAACAUCCAUGGCGAAGGCAGCUACCUGGACCAACACUGACACUGAGGCACGAAAGCGUGGGGAGCAAACAGG
rnacentral:rRNA from 1 species